ACUGCUCAGUAACACGUGGAUAACCUGCCCUUGGGUCCGGCAUAACCCCGGGAAACUGGGGAUAAUUCCGGAUAACGCAUAUAUGCUGGAAUGCUUUAUGCGUAAAAUGGAUUCGUCUGCCCAAGGAUGGGUCUGCGGCCUAUCAGGUAGUAGUGGGUGUAAUGUACCUACUAGCCGACGACGGGUACGGGUUGUGAGAGCAAGAGCCCGGAGAUGGAUUCUGAGACAUGAAUCCAGGCCCUACGGGGCGCAGCAGGCGCGAAAACUUUACAAUGCGGGAAACCGUGAUAAGGGGACACCGAGUGCCAGCAUCAUAUGCUGGCUGUCCGGGUGUGUAAAAUACACCUGUUAGCAAGGGCCGGGCAAGACCGGUGCCAGCCGCCGCGGUAACACCGGCGGCCCGAGUGGUGAUCGUGAUUAUUGGGUCUAAAGGGUCCGUAGCCGGUUUGGUCAGUCCUCCGGGAAAUCUGACGGCUCAACCGUUAGGCUUUCGGGGGAUACUGCCAGGCUUGGAACCGGGAGAGGUAAGAGGUACUACAGGGGUAGGAGUGAAAUCUUGUAAUCCCUGUGGGACCACCUGUGGCGAAGGCGUCUUACCAGAACGGGUUCGACGGUGAGGGACGAAAGCUGGGGGCACGAACCGGAUUAGAUACCCGGGUAGUCCCAGCCGUAAACGAUGCUCGCUAGGUGUCAGGCAUGGCGCGACCGUGUCUGGUGCCGCAGGGAAGCCGUGAAGCGAGCCACCUGGGGAAGUACGGCCGCAAGGCUGAAACUUAAAGGAAUUGGCGGGGGAGCAC
rnacentral:rRNA from 1 species